rnacentral:rRNA from 1 species
GCGUAACGCGUGGGAAUCUGCCCUUGGGUUCGGAAUAACUUCGGGAAACUGAAGCUAAUACCGGAUGAUGACGUAAGUCCAAAGAUUUAUCGCCCAGGGAUGAGCCCGCGUAGGAUUAGCUAGUUGGUGGGGUAAAGGCCUACCAAGGCGACGAUCCUUAGCUGGUCUGAGAGGAUGAUCAGCCACACUGGGACUGAGACACGGCCCAGACUCCUACGGGAGGCAGCAGUAGGGAAUAUUGGACAAUGGGCGAAAGCCUGAUCUAGCAAUGCCGCGUGAGUGAUGAAGGCCUUAGGGUUGUAA